rnacentral:rRNA from 1 species
CCUACGGGAGGCUGCAGUGAGGAAUAUUGGUCAAUGGACGAGAGUCUGAACCAGCCAAGUAGCGUGAAGGAUGACUGCCCUAUGGGUUGUAAACUUCUUUUAUAUGGGAAUAAAACGUUCCACGUGUGGGAUUUUGUAUGUACCAUAUGAAUAAGGAUCGGCUAACUCCGUGCCAGCAGCCGCGGUAAUACGGAGGAUCCGAGCGUUAUCCGGAUUUAUUGGGUUUAAAGGGAGCGUAGGUGGAUUGUUAAGUCAGUUGUGAAAGUUUGCGGCUCAACCGUAAAAUUGCAGUUGAAACUGGCAGUCUUGAGUACAGUAGAGGUGGGCGGAAUUCGUGGUGUAGCGGUGAAAUGCUUAGAUAUCACGAAGAACACCGAUUGCGAAGGCAGUUCACUGGACUGCAACUGACACUGAGGCUCGAAAGUGUGGGUAUCAAACAGGAUUAGAUACCCUUGUAGUC